rnacentral:lncRNA from 1 species
UUCCUUCACUGUACAAAAGAUAUUUAACAUCCUGACAUCUCUUCCCACUCUGUUCCCUUGCCAGGAUCGGGAGGAAACUUGGCUUCUGGUGGAGCAGAUGACAAUAGGUGGCAGCAGCAGUCCAUGGUGGGAGCCAGAGUGAAAGGAAACAGGCUCACAUGAGGUUUUGUUCCAUCCUCCACACCAGUAAAUCAACUGCCAACAUUUGUUUUCAUUUCUGGAUUCCUGUUGCCUCUGCAGUGGCUGGCAAGCAGCAGAUGUGAAAAACAGCCUUGUAACAGUUUAUUUCACUCUGCAUCUUUUGGCAUGCAACUCUUUUUACUGAAGUGUUUCCCAAACAUAUGAGUCUGAUUAACCUCAGCAAUAAUUCGAGACCUCAGCAUAAUCAAGUUGUUCAGAAUACAGAGACAUGGUUAGCUGCACCAGGCAACAAAAUAAAACCAAGUUUUUAUUCACUUGCAUGUAACUCCACUGCUUGCAUCACAUAUGCUUUGCAGGAAUAUUUAGUUGCUUUAAAAUGAGAUCAAUGAUUGAACUAAAAAGUGGAUGCACAUUCCAUCUGCUCAUGCAAAUGCACAUAUGAGAGUUUUUGUUUUAGAAUUUUUUUAUUUUUUUUUUAAUCUAGCUUCAUGAUCAAGCUCCACUUUUAAAUAUUAACAGUGGUAAUGUUCUUGGUGUGCCUUUAGUUGGAGAUUGGCUGGCUAAAAUUUACGUAUGGA